AAGUAAAAGUCGUAACAAGGUUUCCGUAGGUGAACCUGCGGAAGGAUCAUUAAUGAAACUUGGGAGAAUUGAUGCUGGCGUCAAGCAUGUGCUCACUCUCCCUUAAUCCAUUUAACACCUGUGCACUUUGAGAGAGGGGUUGAUUUAUUUUGAUCCCUCCCUCCUUUUAACACAAACUCUGAUAGUCGAAUGUUCAUUAGGCCGAAAGGCUAUAUAAAUAAAACAACUUUUAACAACGGAUCUCUUGGCUCUCGCAUCGAUGAAGAACGCAGCGAAAUGCGAUAAGUAAUGUGAAUUGCAGAAUUCAGUGAAUCAUCGAAUCUUUGAACGCACCUUGCGCUCUCUGGUAUUCCGGAGAGCACGCCUGUUCGAGUGUCAUGAAACUCUCAAGCGGAAUUGACUUUAUUGUUUGAUUCUCGUUUGGAUUUGGACUCUGCCGCGUUACUGCGGCUGGUCUUAAAUGCAUUAGCUGGUCUGUAAGAACCUUGGGUUUGACUUGGCGUGAUAAUAUAUUCGCUGAGGACACUUCGGUGGCCUAAAUUCUUACUGGAUUGCUUCUAAUCGUCUUAGGACAAUCAUACUUCAAAUCUGACCUCGAAUCAGGCGGGACUACCCGCUGAACUUAAGCAUAU
rnacentral:rRNA from 1 species